UCUCACUCCAAGGACACGAGAAUCAUCCCAGCCGUCUGUCGCCCUUUCCUCUUCCCGAAAGGGUCCAAAUUUCAGAAAAAAGGGUGUUUCCCUUUAACAGUGAACUUUUUCGAAUUUGAAUCGAGGAUGAGCCCUUGAAUUCGGGGAAUCCAUCCUCCCCCCUCCCCCUCAAAUAUUCUAGACCAUAAUUUCCCCUAUGUAUAACAUCUUUUUUUCACUGUGAGGGAGGGAGGAAAUUUUUGAAAAACAAAAGGGAGUUACUAGAUAUUGUCGAGUUUGGAGAUUUUAGUGGAGAAAAUUGUUAAAGGUUUUAGUUUGAAGUUGGAUUCUUAGGAAAAGAAAAUACUUAUAAAGUUUCAGUGAGAUAGCCUAAGAUAAGUAAAACAGGUUUUCAAAGAAAACGGAGGAAGAACUCUUUAAUUUAGGUGUUGAGUUCGAUAUUUUGCUUAAGUUCUCAACUGCUGCUCGUGUUUAGGUUCUUGUGGUGGUCGUCCCCUGUCCGUUUGUCUCAAAACGCUUUGCGAAAAAAGUUUGAAGUGCACGGAGAAUGUGUUUACGCAUUUAGUACAUUCAAAAGAUCUAUUUUCUUCUCUGUUUUGAGCUUGUCAGGUAUUUGACAUAUGUUUGUAAUCGAUUUGCUUGCCGGUUUCUGGUUUAUGUGUGUUAAGCAGUGAUUCUCUUUUGAUGAAUUUGUUAUUUUAGGACUGAUUGAUCAUAGUUAAGCUAUGAUUUGGAAAUAACAUUAUUUGAGUACUAACUUUUAUCGUUAUUUUUUAUUGUUGCAUCUGAAAUCAACUCGGGUUCAUCGUGAACCCCUACUUCCUUCUGCGUCAUUCAAGAGAGCCUUCAAAGCUCAAUUCCUUUCGAGUCAAACUCAUAAAAUUAACGUACAGGUCCCAAGUUGAAAGGAUUCAAACAGAUUAAGAAGUUGAAGAAAUUGGACAAAAGAGUCCAACUUUAUUUUUUUUCAGAGCGUUGUAUUUUGUUAUCGUUGGGCCUAAGCCCUUGUUGUCUUUUCUUUUCCGUAUUCAUUAUUUACAGAUUGUCUAAUUAGUCUAGGAUAGGUACAAAAUGAAAUGGGUCGAAAUACCGGUCUAGAUAGACAGAAAGUGGAUUUGGACCCAACUCUC